ACAUUAGCUCCACAUGCUGUUUGUACUUACGCCAUGCAUCGGGUAAGUUUGUAGACUCGAGAUUCGAGGUGAAGGAAUCCAUAUUUUAAGACCUUUUACUCAGACACCAUGUCUUGUUUUGCACACUUUGUACAAAAUAAUAAAUUGCAGUUCUACAGGAUAUUUCUUAACAUAGCUCUUUAUUAGCUAGCUAUAACUGGCAUGUUCACGUAUAGCCAACCAGGAUCACCCUGACCAUGACCUAACCAUUUGAGUGGUCUAAAUCAAUCAUAGCACAGUAUGAGAUGGCGGUAAAAUGCAUCCAAUUACAAUUCAGUAUGUUUACACAUAUGAAUAUUACAAUAACAAUUUAAGGACCAGAAAACUGACAGCUGUGCAAUUUUCACAUUGCUCUUUUGACUAAAACAAGCUAAUGUUAGCUGGCAAAGUUAGCAAAGCUAACAAAGGUAGCUAACGUGAAUAUUUGAAUCCUGUUAAUUUGCUAAUUAUGGUCUCUUCUGUUUUAAUAGCUGGCAGUAAGGGAUCGACACAUUAAUGCUGGUGAGGAGGACAUGUAUGUGCCGCAAGAAAAUAAGAACAGUCUGCUGGUCAGGCAGCUGAGAUUAAGGUACACAUUUUGAAGGUGGAGUUGCAAAUCCGUACUGGACUGAAAGAGGCAUAAAUUGUUAGAUACACCAGACAUUAGAGAUGU